UACGUAGGGGGCAAGCGUUGUCCGGAUUUAUUGGGCGUAAAGAGCUCGUAGGCGGUUGGGCAAGUCACGUGUGAAAUCUCCACGCUCAACGUGGAGGCGCCACGUGAGACUGCCCUGACUCGAGUCCGGUAGGGGAGCGUGGAAUUCCCGGUGUAGCGGUGAAAUGCGCAGAUAUCGGGAGGAACGCCGGUGGCGAAAGCGACUGUCUGGGGUGCCUGUGACGCUGAGGCGCGAAAGCCAGGGGAUCAAACGGG
rnacentral:rRNA from 1 species